GAUGAACGCUAGCGAUAGGCUUAACACAUGCAAGUCGAGGGGCAGCAUGGUCUUAGCUUGCUCAGGCUGAUGGCGACCGGCGCACGGGUGCGUAACGCGUAUGCAACUUGCCUCACAGAGGGGGAUAACCCGUCGAAAGACGGACUAAUACCGCGUACACUCUAUGUUGGGCAUCCAAUGUAGAGGAAAUGAAAUUCGCUGUGAGAUAGGCAUGCGUCCCAUUAGCUAGUUGGUGAGGUAACGGCUCACCAAGGCGACGAUGGGUAGGGGAACUGAGAGGUUGAACCCCCACACUGGUACUGAGACACGGACCAGACUCCUACGGGAGGCAGCAGUGAGGAAUAGUGGUCAAUGGGCGAGAGCCUGAACCAGCCAAGUCGCGUGAAGGAUGACUGUCUUAUGGAUUGUAAACUUCUUUUAGACGGGAAGAACAAGAGUCACGUGUGGCUCCCUGCAUGUACCGUAUGAAUAAGCAUCGGCUAACUCCGUG
rnacentral:rRNA from 1 species